rnacentral:tmRNA from 1 species
GGGGCCGAAUGGUAUCGACCGGACAGGGAAGGUGUAUCGUUGCGCGUCGUGGAGCAUCCUUGCCACGUAAAAAGGAUGCAAAAACAAUAACUGCCAACCCGCAGUAUGCUCUCGCAGCCUAAUUGAGCUGUGCGUUCCAUGCUCGACGCCCGAUAGGGUGUGGAACGACGACAUCGGGCUACUUCCAAAGGGCUGACAGGCCUCUGCGGAGGGAAACUUCAGUCUGUCAUGGCAAUUCGGAAUGCUGUCGCCGGCAGCCCGAUGCGCCGAGAUCAAUACGGCGACUACACGUGUAGACGCGAUGCACUGACUGUAUCGGCACGGGGGUUCGAAUCCCCCCGGCUCCACUU